UUAAACGGCCGCGUUAGCGUGAGCGUGCUAAGGUAGCGUAAUAAAUAGCCUCUUAAUUGGAGGCCAGUGAAUGGCAAGACUAGGGAUAUCUAUACCCUGUAUAUAAAAACAACUUUUCAUUUGGGUGAAAAGACCCAAAUAACAAAGGAAGACGAAAAGACCCCGCGGAACUUUACCUUUUCUAGUCUCUACAUGCUUAGAAACACAAAAACAAAAGGUUUGAUUGGGGCAAUCUUGGAACCAUCUAAACUUCCGAUUUAUAGUAUAAAUAUAUAUAUAUAUAACUCAAUAAGGACCAAAAAGAAGUUACCCCGGGGAUAACAGCGUAAUCCAGCUUGAGAGUACACAUCGAAAGCUGGGUUUGCGACCUCGAUGUUGGCUUAAGGAUAUCCACAUAGGUGCAACC
rnacentral:rRNA from 1 species